rnacentral:lncRNA from 1 species
AUUCCCCUCAAUCAAUCAGGCGGCGUGCAUUCCUACCCAAGAAGAAAGAUCCCAGACCGCUGUAUCUCUCCUUUCUGCCUGUCAUUAACUACCCACGAGAGCUCUUUCUCUUUUUCCCUCCUUCUCUUCCUUAGAGACGGAACCUAGGCCCAAGACGGUGAAUUGGCGCCGAGAAACCAGACACAGCCACCCAGCCAGCUCCAGCUCCAACGCCACGGUCUCUGCCCCCGCACCCACCCGCGUCCCUCCCAGGCAGCGACCGGAGCUCAUGCUUCGGCCUGACCAGGACUCCCCAUCCGGGGAGAGCCAUCGCUCACUGACCCAGGAAGGUGUCAAACGAGGAAGUAGCAGCAGUAACAGAUCUACAGAUGAAGAAAGUGAGGGCACGGAGUUGUUCAGCGCAAGGGAAUAGAUACCAGGUGUUGAAUCCAGGCUCUCCUACUUACUAGUUGUGUGACCUUACUCCUCUGAAUUUCAGCCUGUUCACAUGCAAAGUGGUGGUAAUAAUACCUUACACAGGUAUUGUGAGGAU